rnacentral:rRNA from 1 species
UGGGGGAUAUUGCACAAUGGGCGAAAGCCUGAUGCAGCGACGCCGCGUGGGGGAUGAAGGCCUUCGGGUUGUAAACUUCUUUUGCUCUGAACAAGGCAUGCUAAUGGGUGUGUUGAGUGUAGGGGUUGAUUAGCGCCGGCUAACUACGUGCCAGCAGCCGCGGUAAUACGUAGGGCGCGAGCGUUGUCCGGAAUUAUUGGGCGUAAAGGGCUUGUAGGUGGCUGGUUGCGUCUGUCGUGAAAGCUCAUGGCUUAACUGUGGGUUUGCGGUGGGUACGGGCUGGCUUGAGUUCAGUAGGGGAGGCUGUAAUUCCUGGUGUAGCGGUGGAAUGCGCAGAUAUCAGGAGGAAUACCGGUAGCGAAGGCGGGUCUCUGGGCUGUUACUGACACUGAGGAGCGAAAGCAUGGGGAGCGAACAGG